GGAAGUAAAAGUCGUAACAAGGUUUCCGUAGGUGAACCUGCGGAAGGAUCAUUAAAAAUAUAGCAAACCAAGCGUUAGCGAGGUUCUGCGAUCAAAAUUGUAUUUAAAACCCAACUCUUUGAAUCAAAUAUAUUAUGUAUUUUAAAUAAAUAAAAGAUCACUUUCAACAACGGAUCUCUUGGCUCUCGCAUCGAUGAAGAACGUAGCGAAGUGCGAUAAGUAAUGUGAAUUGCAGAAUUCCGUGAAUCAUCAAAUCUUUGAACGCAAAUUGCACUUUCUGGUAUUCCGGAGAGUAUGCCUGUUUGAGGGUCAGUGUAAUAAAAAUAAAUCGUGGUUGUUUCCACCUUUCGUGGUGACGCUUCGGAAUUGAGUCGUCUUACCUUCGGUUAAGUGACUUAAAAUUUUUUCAUACGAUUUCGAAACGUAUUUAAUGUAUUUACGUACGUUCACGAAUAUCGAAUGUUUAUUAGGUGCGGUCAUUUUCAUGAACUCGCGCCUAUAAUUUUUCAUUAAAUGACCUCAAAUCAGGUAAGAAUACCCGCUGAACUUAAGCAUAUCAAUAAGCGGAGGA
rnacentral:rRNA from 1 species